rnacentral:rRNA from 1 species
GACAGAGGGUGCAAACGUUGUUCGGAAUUACUGGGCGUAAAGCGCGUGUAGGCGGCUAAGUAAGUCGGGCGUGAAAUCCCACGGCUCAACCGUGGAAGUGCACUCGAAACUGCAUAGCUAGAGUCCUGGAGAGGAAGGUGGAAUGCUUGGUGUAGAGGUGAAAUUCGUAGAUAUCAAGCGGGAACACCGGUGGCGAAGGCGGCCUACUGGACAGUGACUGACGCUGAGA